CACAUCAUAGGAAAAAAAGAAACCUAACCGAAAUAAAAGAGACAAAUGCAACCUAUCUAGUUAAAAAGUUCCUUCCCUUCCCCUCCUCUCCUCUAACCUAAAGUUACGCCUAAACAUCAAACUCCACUCAAAUAAUUCUCAUCGGCGCCACACAAUGUAUUCACCCAUCACUGCUUCUUCUUCUUCUCUAGGGUGUGCUACUUACUUUGAAGGCCUCUGGUCACUUUUUAAAUCGAACUCAAAAUCAUCGUGCCUCGAGCCUCGACAAAGGUAAAAUUUUGAUCCCAUAAUUUGGAUGAUUUUAAAGUACAAAUAUUUUUGCAAACUUGAUACAUGUAAAUUUAACUCUGACAUGGCAUACUAAAUCAGACCAAUUGCUCUGUAUUUUUCAAUUAUGGUUUCCUUGUUUAUGGUUUGUUAAUUACUUUGAAUGUUUUUGGUGACUAUAGAUUCCGGAAUACAAUUACCUAGAAUCAUAUUCACAAUCGGCAAAGGUGAUGUUGUUCAAAUAUUUCUUCCGCAGAAGCGUGAGUAGUACAACCUAUAAGAGUUCUAUGGCUAUGCAUCGUCCAUCGAACUAUCAUUUGAGAACCAACAAUUGUUGAGAUCUAAUAGUUAUAAAAAUCACAAAAAUUUACCCUCUAACAAGAACCAUUGCAAAUUAAGAGGCGGUUGUAGUUUUUCCUAACAGGGAGCGAUUAAUAUAUGCGCGGAAAUUCUAUUGAUCCACCUGUUCUGCUAUCAAAGGACAAACAACAGAGAAUACCAAAGGAAUUAGAGUAAGGUAAACACUGUUCUGUGAAUCUUCAUAUCUUUAUUGAAACUGAUAAUUUUAUCAUUAAUGCAAUCUGUACACUUUUCCCAAGAAUUAGGUGAAGAAUUUUUAGAUUUCUCUUGCAUAUGUUUAGAAGAGUUAAUACACUCAAACGUACAUUCAUAAUAUGCAUUCUUGGUAGAUAAGGUCAAUAGGUCACAAAAAUUGGAUAUAUAUUUGCUAUCUUAGUGAAAGAUAAAGUUGUUCAUGGUAUUCCAACAGGUCAUGUAUUUGUCAUCUUUUUUUUGGUUAUUCUUUUAUGUUUCUUUGAUCUUCUUUUGAAGAACUAUUUGACAGAAGUUUGCCACCUCUUUUGGUUUUGACAAGAAGUUACAAAUCUAUUGCUCUUCAAGAUGACACUGUAAGGGAAAGACGUGGACGAUCAAGGAGGAUGACAUAUCUAUAUUCAAUGAUGAAUUUACUGCUCCACUUCACUGUACGAAACUGUAGUAUUAUGCUUUAUUUUAAAUGAGAAAAUUUGUAAUUCCAUUACCUCAAAGCCUAAAGCUCACAAGUGUCAAUUCCUUUGUAACAUUUUGUAUUAUUCACCAAUGGACAAACUAUUCUCGCAAAUUUAAUAUAA